GGCUGCAGUCGAGGAUCUUCGGCAAUGGGCGCAAGCCUGACCGAGCGACGCCGCGUGAGCGAUGAAGGCCAUUAGGUUGUAAAGCUCUGUCGAGGGGGAACAAGCCGCAAGGUUGAGUGAUCCCUGGAGGAAGCACGGGCUAAGUUCGUGCCAGCAGCCGCGGUAAGACGAACCGUGCGAACGUUGUUCGGAAUCAUUGGGCUUAAAGGGCGCGUAGGCGGGUUGACAAGUCCGGGGUGAAAGCCUCCAGCUCAACUGGAGAAGAGCCCCGGAUACUGUCAGUCUGGAGAGGGAUAGGGGCACAUGGAACUUCCGGUGGAGCGGUGAAAUGCGUAGAGAUCGGAAGGAACGCCGGUGGCGAAAGCGAUGUGCUGGAUCUUUUCUGACGCUGAGGCGCGAAAGCUAGGGGAGCAAACGGGAUUAGAUACCCCGGUAGUCCUAGCCCUAAACGAUGGGUACUGGGUUGCGGGUCAGACAUAGACUCGCAGCCGGAGCAAAAGUGUUAAGUACCCCGCCUGGGGAGUAUGGUCGCAAGGCUGAAACUCAAAGGAAUUGACGGGGGCUCACACAA
rnacentral:rRNA from 1 species